GCGACACUGAGUCAAAGCAAGCCUUUGGAUUUGACUAAUUCUUUCUGAAAAUCAUCACAUGUCUUUGAGGACCCUUGUAGACUCACUUGAUCUUUUUGGGUGAAUGGAAUAUGGUGCCAUAUGGAAGUUUCCAAUAGGUGUCCAGAGAGUAAAGGAGCAAGGAUUCAUAACUGACAGACAUUUUCACAGAUAGCGAGGAGAGAGCCUACUUUUUAAUGAAAGGUGAGUCAAAAAAGUCUUGCUUUUUCUUCCCACCUUCUCUUUAUAAAAGAUGAGUCAGGCCUUGAAGAACUUUCCCCCGAUGUUGUGAGAUUUACUGGGCCUCCACUGGGAGGAAUAUACAGCCCCCAUCCUACCGAUGCAGGAGUUGAUCUAUGUGCCUUACUUUGGCCCCGGGAUGUGAUUGGAUACACCCUGGACAUGACUGAGCACAAGCUUUAAGAACCAGGGAAGAUUUAAGAGCCAGCCAUCUUGCUCUUUCUCUCUGCGACGCAAAAGCUCAUGUCUCAAGUAGGAGCCACUUCUUCACCCAGAAUCUUGGAACAAAGACAACUUAUGCGAGAGUGAAGAACGACAGCUGAUCUGGAGCCACCACCAUGUAACAAGAAUGAGAAAUGGACUGUUGUGUGUGUAAGCCAGUGAGAUUUUUAAAGUGUCAUUGCUGCAUA